rnacentral:rRNA from 1 species
GACGUAGGGCGCGAGCGUUGUCCGGAUUUAUUGGGCGUAAAGAGCUCGUAGGCGGCUCAUUGCGUCAACCGUGAAAACCAGCAGCUCAACUGUUGGCUUGCGGUUGAUACGGGUGGGCUGGAGUUCGGUAGGGGAGACUGGAAUUCCUGGUGUAGCGGUGAAAUGCGCAGAUAUCAGGAGGAACACCGGUGGCGAAGGCGGCCAGCUGGCGCUGACCUGACGCUGAGGCGCGAAGGCGUGGGGAGCGAACGGG